ensembl:lncRNA
CACAGCAGGAAGGAAGAAGGCAGCUUGGGGAAAGCUUCAAUAGAUCUAACAUGGCCAACUGAGCGGCAGUUUAUUGAUAUGGAGCGGUUGUGAAUUCCUGAUGCUGUACUGCGUGGGCCCCCGGAGACGUAGGCUGGCGAGAUAACCAUGACAGAACAUAUCAAUAGACAUGCACAGGAGACAGAAAGACGGAAGGAUGUGAGCAGCGAGGCAAUGUGAUUCAGACAAGACGAGAAUAUCAUUCCUUUGGAGCAGGUCCAUGAUGGAGAAAUGGUGGAGCUGUGGUUGAAGUCCGAGGCACAGAACACGAUGAAGACUCACAGCGGCAAAGAUUUAACCACUGCGGCUUCGGUGCUGAUUGGCUGAUAUCAUUUGGCUGUAACACAUCCGUGAUUGACAGCCGGCUAAAUUCUUCUGUUCUGUAUUCGGCUGCAGUGGCGGUUCAUCACCUUGACCCUAAUGUGACAAGCUGCAAAGGAUGGUGAUGCUGAUUUACAUCAUAAUGAAUGUGAAGAUCUCUGUGAUGGAUUUUCACCAAAAGCAUAGCAGCAAUGUGGCAAAAUGAACAAAAUUGCUAUCAGCUUUAAUAAGAAUUGUCAUUUUUGGUCAAUUGAUUGAUUGAUUUCAGAAAAAAAUAUGAAAAAAAUAAUAAUAAAAAAGAAGCUGAAUUAGUUUUGCUUAACUUCAUUCAUUAUGAAUACACAUGCAGUAGAGUGAACGAAGUGAAGAAAGAGUUGCAUUAACAGUGUUUGUCUAUAUUUCAUGGUCAAAGCUAUUAUUGCAUUUGUACAAGAUUGUAUUGACAAAAAGACCAUGACGUUUGUACAGCAGUGAUCCUUUGUUUGAUAUCCUUUCAUAGUGCGAGGAAGAGGUUGAGAAUGUGACGUGGUUGAUUUAAGGCUUCAGGGUUGUUUCCCACAGCGUGUGUUGUGAUUUACUGUUGUCAAAAACCGAUUUACUGUUGUUUCCUCAGCAUUUUUUAGGUUCAUGUUGGGGGCGAUUUGGUCAAAGAUGAAAGCAGAAGCGGCAUGAAAACAAACGUUCCAGUCGAAGACAAAAGACUGACUUUGUAAAAUGCAUUUCUUUAGAUACACUGCAGACUUUCGGCAAUGAUGAACUGGC